rnacentral:rRNA from 1 species
UACGUAGGGGGCAAGCGUUGUCCGGAAUUAUUGGGCGUAAAGGGCUCGUAGGCGGUUUGUCGCGUCGGGAGUGAAAACACCGGGCUUAACUCGGUGCUUGCUUUCGAUACGGGCAGGCUAGAGUUCGGUAGGGGAGAGUCGGAAUUCCUGGUGUAGCGGUGAAAUGCGCAGAUAUCAGGAGGAACACCGGUGGCGAAGGCGGAUCUCUGGGCCGAUACUGACGCUGAGGAGCGAAAGCGUGGGGAGCGAACAGG